AUUGAACGCUGGCGGCAGGCCUAACACAUGCACGUCGAACGAGUGGCGGACGGGUGAGUAAUGUCUGGGAAACUGCCUGAUGGAGGGGGAUAACUACUGGAAACGGUAGCUAAUACCGCAUACCAUCGGAUGUACCCAGAUGGGAUAAGCUAGUAGGUGGGGUAACGGGUCACCUAGGCGACGAUCCCUAGCUGGUCUGAGAGGAUGACCAGGCAAACAAGAACUGAGACACAGACCGAACUCCUACGGGAGGCAGCAGUGGGGAAUAUUGCACAAUGGGCGCAAGCCUGAUGCAGCCAUGCCGCGUGUAUGAAGAAGGCCAUCGGGUUGUAAAGUGCUUUCGGCGGGGAGGCGUUACCAGCAGAAGAAGCACCGGCUAACUCCGUGCCAGCAGCCGCGGUAAUUC
rnacentral:rRNA from 1 species